GGAUAAGCAGUCGCUGCUAUGGGCCUGUACGCAGGUCUAUGGGAGAGGAAAGUCUGGACCUCGCAGGAGAGGAUACCAGUGAAAGACUGGGGGCCGCAAGGCUACGGAAAGUGUAACAGAGAACAUUCCGCUGACCACCUUUGGUUGGUUAGACAGGGUGAAAUGCACGCCUUAGGGGCGCUGCCAUACUUGGGGGAACCCAGGGUGUUAUAAACCCUAUCCGAGGCAAGACAACCGGAGCGUUAUUCUGUUCUCCACAGAGCUCCAACAAGUCGCUUGAGGAUCCCAGCGAUGGGGACCCUAGACGAAUGACUGCUCGUUGGGUUGCAGAUUUUCUGCGGCUUGACUGACAAAAUCCGGCUUAUCGUUCUCC
rnacentral:RNase_P_RNA from 1 species